AUCCACCCUAGGGAAAAAGUUACGUGAUCGACUUCCAGGUUUAGUGAAUGCUAUUGCAUGUGUCAUAUUUUGACAUUUUGUUUCUCUCAUCUCUCUAUUUAAAACAGAUACAAAUUUAUGAUAUUGAAAAAUAAAAAAUGCAAGAGAGUACGGUGAAAAUAAACAAAUUCAUUAUUGAACGGAUACAUUUUGUGACUACAUUGCUUGUCAGGUAACCAAUUACAUGGUUAUUCACAAACGACGUAUCUGAUGAAAUUAUUGUUAAUACAUUGAUAGCUGGUUCCAGAUUCCAAAUUUGGGUAUUCACGACUAAAAUGUUUUGCUGGUGAUUUAAUAUGAAAAAUAAUAAAUUUGCAUAAAAACUUGUAGUUUUUAAA